rnacentral:rRNA from 1 species
UACGUAGGCAGCAAGCGUUGUCCGGAAUUACUGGGCGUAAAGAGCUCGUAGGUGGUUUGUCGCGUUGUUCGUGAAAACUCACAGCUCAACUGUGGGCGUGCGGGCGAUACGGGCAGACUGGAGUACUGCAGGGGAGACUGGAAUUCCUGGUGUAGCGGUGGAAUGCGCAGAUAUCAGGAGGAACACCGGUGGCGAAGGCGGGUCUCUGGGCAGUAACUGACGCUGAGGAGCGAAAGCGUGGGGAGCGAACAGG